CCGACUAACACUCGAACAUAUUUUUGAGGUUUUUGUCAAUUUGGAAACUCCGAUUCUUUUCCAAUUUUUUUGUGCUUGUUUUAAACUUGAUUUUUAAGAAAUAGGCAAAUUUUGAAUUGAGAUCAACAGUUUAUUCAUUAGGUAUUGAGGUUUAAAUCUGUCAUAGGAAUUACUAGGAUUUGGAUUAGGGUUUGGUUAGGGUUCGAUUUAGGAUUUGAUUUAGAGUUUAGGGUUUGGAUUAGGGUUUGGAUUAGGAUUUAGGAUUUGGUUAGGAUUUGAUUUAGGAUUUGGAUUAGGGUUUGAAUUAGGAUUUAGGGUUUGGUUAGAAUUUGAUUUAGGGUUUGGAUUAGGAUUUGAUUUAAGGUUUGGUUUAGAGUUUAGGGUUUGGAUUAGGAUUUAGGAUUGGAUUAGAGUUUAGAUAAGGAUUUAGAAUUCGAUUUAGGGUUUAAGAUUUGAAAUAAGGUUUGAUUUAGGAUUUAAUUUAAGGUUUGUUUAAGAUUUGACUUAGGGUUUAGGAUUUAUUAGGGUUUAAGAUUUAAUUGGAUUUGGUCUAUAGUUUGAGUGAAAUUCAAUAGGGUUUUAAUUAGAAUUAAAUUAAGGUUGAAUUGACAUAUAUUUGAGAAAUAUAUUUGUGUUCAUUCUAAUAUUUUUUUAAGAAUUUUAUUGUUUGUUUGAAAUUUCUUUGAGUUGUUUUGAAUUUGAUUACGUUUGUUUACCAUUAUUAUAGUCUAAUUAGAACAUUGUUAGUAUUCUAUUAGAAUUAGGAUUUUGUUAUUACAAUUUCUAUUCUUCCUUCUACAACCAGGUGCCCAGAGUAUUCUCAAGCAAGACUUCACACAUUACGACAGCGGCUGGAACCUUGCACAACUUCUAAUAAAGGUCCUAUUCUCUCCUCAGAGCCCUCUCCUUAUUUUACAUUAAAUUUUAUUUUAAGACCUAAAUAUUACAAAGCCUCUGCCUUGUUAGAUUCA
rnacentral:lncRNA from 1 species